GGUGCUGCAUGGCUGUCGUCAGCUCGUGUUGUGAAAUGUUGGGUUAAGUCCCGCAACGAGCGCAACCCUUGUCCUUUGUUGCCAGCGCUUUGGGGGGGAACCUCAAGGAAAAUGGCCGGGAAAAACCGGAAGAAGGGGGGGAUGAACUCAAGUCAUUCUGGCCCUUACGGGCAGGGGUACCACCCGGGUAACAUGGGGCGUACAAAAGGGUUGCAACCCCCCGGAGGGAAGCUACUCCAAAAAAACCGUUCUAAUCCGGAAUGGAAUUCUCAACCCCACCCGCUGAAAUCCGAAUCCCUU
rnacentral:rRNA from 1 species